rnacentral:rRNA from 1 species
ACGAACGCUGGCGGCAUGCCUAACACAUGCAAGUCGAACGAGACCUUCGGGUCUAGUGGCGCACGGGUGCGUAACGCGUGGGAAUCUGCCCUUGGGUUCGGAAUAACUCAGAGAAAUUUGUGCUAAUACCGGAUGAUGACGUAAGUCCAAAGAUUUAUCGCCCAGGGAUGAGCCCGCGUAAGAUUAGCUUGUUGGUGAGGUAAAGGCUCACCAAGGCGACGAUCUUUAGCUGGUCUGAGAGGAUGAUCAGCCACACUGGGACUGAGACACGGCCCAGACUCCUACGGGAGGCAGCAGUGGGGAAUAUUGGACAAUGGGCGAAAGCCUGAUCCAGCAAUGCCGCGUGAGUGAUGAAGGCCUUAGGGUUGUAAAGCUCUUUUACCAGGGAUGAUAAUGACAGUACCUGGAGAAUAAGCUCCGGCUAACUCCGU